AUUGAACGCUGGCGGCAGGCUUAACACAUGCAAGUCGAGCGGCAGUCUUCGGACUGUAGUGGCGCACGGGUGAGUAACGCGUAACUGACCUACCCCAAAGUCGCGGAUAACGAUUCGAAAGAAUCGCUAAUACGUGAUGUGCUGUCAGAUUGUGUUCUGCCAGUAAAGAUUGAUUGCUUUGGGAUGGGGUUGCGUUCCAUCAGCUAGUUGGUGGGGUAAAGGCCCACCAAGGCGACGACGGAUAGCCGGCCUGAGAGGGUGGCCGGCCACAGGGGCACUGAGACACGGGUCCCACUCCUACGGGAGGCAGCAGUUAGGAAUCUUCCACAAUGGGCGAAAGCCUGAUGGAGCGACGCCGCGUGAGGGAUGAAGGUCUUCGGAUCGUAAACCUCUGAAUCAGGGACGAAAGACACUUCGGUGGGAUGACGGUACCUGAGUAAUAGCACCGGCUAACUCCGUGCCAGCCGCCGCAGUAAAAC
rnacentral:rRNA from 1 species